GCGCGCGCAGGACCUCUGGCGAGUCAGUGCAAGUUAGGAAAUCUAAGCAUUACAAUGAGGCAAAUCAUCUUCCUUUUCUUUGCGUUGGCUCUGGUCGUGCUGAUGGUGGAAUCGAAGCUUAUUAAUCCCGAGGAAGUCUUAACAAGACUGCGCAGAGACUGCCCUUGCUUCCCCCGCCACUGCUCCUGUGGUAUCACGGAUCCUUAUCCUUUCGCUGAUACCUACCUAGCCUGAAGAACUGACAUCACCUUGGCCAAGAAUCGAGUCAGCAAAUCAGUAGAUUUUCACCACGACUGAAGGAGGAUCAU